GGCUCAGUCGUUCCCAGGGGUCCACUAUACCCUUGGUCUGUGUCAUCUCAGGUGUGCUUGAGCUCCUGGAAUACCUUCGAACUGUCAUGACAUUUUCUGAGGGGGAAAAGACAUGCAAGAUAGCAGUGAUGGGUUGAAACGCUCGGUUCUGCUCUAACUUCCUGAUCUCCUCCCGCAUCUCCAUGAUGACACGGGCCAAGGUGCGGGUUCCCUCCAUGGCGCCGCUGCUGCGCUGCCAGAACCAGGGCUUCCCAAAGAGCGCGGCGGGUUCUUGAUGCGGGUCGUGCCCCAGGACCUCGUGGUGCUGCCCGGCGUUUAACAUGCCGCCUGUACAAUCUCAGUGCGGAUCUUGGCUGUGACUACAUGGUGCCUAUACAGCUGAUCCAUCUACAGGGGAACAGAUCUGCCCGUCGCCCUUGGGGAGGAUGUUUUAUUCAUCAGCACCUGGGUCCAGUUUCUGGAAAACUACACAGGGGACCUUGCACGGCACGUGGGGACCUGAAUCCGCUUUGUGGUUCUGAACGCAACACAGGGACCAUUUGCUAUCUCUUUAGGUGUAAUUUACAAAAAUUAUUUAUGCAGUCCAGUAUCAAACAGCAAUUCCAUGGAUGGGGGUCACUUCUGGAUAGCAUUACCUGUUCAGAAGCAACCUGAGCCAGCCACAGUCCAAGCACACCAAAGCUGGUACAGAAAAGACUAGAACUGAAAUCAGCUGAUUGUGCAAAAUCGCCAAAUGAAGUGAUGAAAAUGUGUCCGACUCUGGAAAGAAGAACUGUCAUAACAUUAAAAAUUAACAAAGCACUCUACGGUGCGAUCAUGACCUGCAAAACAUUGACACCUGAUCACUUGGAUGCAGCACACUCUAGUCAAGCCAAUAUAUUUUGGGUCACUUGCCUUUCAGUGAAAGUUUCCCUUCUCAUCAUUUGGAUCGCAACAAUUAAAAAAAUCAUCCAUUUUCUAUAAGGCUUAUCAUAAUUCAGAAGAGUCUAUCCAAACAAAUACAAGCAAGUAAUCACUCAAUGCUAGCUCUUGAACAUUAACAAAAUUUUAUUUAAAUGUUAUACAUAAAUUUUUAGUUUUUAUCUUUUUUUUUGUGAAGUCAGCUAAACAAAUAUUCAUAUGUAUAUUUUAUUUAAAAAAAGGGAACAUUUCAAAUGUUUUAAAUAUUAAUAUUUCUUAUAUACAAUUCAAAACAGGAAAUAAUAACAGUAACAAUGCAUUUAAAAAUGUUACAAAACAUAACUCUGUUUUCUUUUUUUUUUCUCCCGGUUCUACUUGAAAAUGGGCCUGCUGAUAUUUUGGGGGGGGGAAAUGUUAGCGAGGAUACAAAUUAGCACUGUGGAGCUGCUCUACAUUCAAAAACCGAGCGGACGGGCAUUCAGCUCUUGACACGCUUGAGAAAAUAACACAUUUGGUUUCUUCGCAAUAGCUUCAAAUAUUUUCUUAUUUUUGGGGGCCGGGGGCAAUUCAAACUUUCUUCUUAAAACAUCAAAAAUAGAACACAAAGAGAAGCUGAAUGCACCUCCGGCUCGGUAAGGUCACUGAAAAUAAAGGGCAAGGCUGUGGAGAGAAGGCGCAUGUGUGUGCGUGUGUUUAACUUUUUUUUUUUUUUUGCUUGCCAGUUUUUCAGGGCCGUCCGUCUCUGGAGAACCAAAAAUAAACAGAACCUACCGAUGCAUCAGCUAAUGCGACGUUCAACGACAGGACAACAGACUAGCACGAGCACAGUCUCUACACACUUCUUCCUUUUCUCUUCUUCUACUAUCAAUUGCUGCCCUCACAAAGAACCAAAAGGGAGCAUGGAUUCCCGAUCAGCCGUUCAGAAGGCGCUGUGGCGCUCCGUUCCUGGCUGCCUUGAGUGAGGAAUCUGAAUGGAAAGAAUAAUCACGGGAGAGUUGGAACGCUGGAUUGACUUGUGUAUUGCCCGUUGAAGUUCCAGGAACUUUUAUUUGGACUGUCGUUCCUGGAAAUGUCACAGAGGAACUUUUGGAGCAUGAUUGUGUUUGAAAUGAAAGACCUUGCUAUUUUGCUAGCAUGCUAAAAAAAAAAAAGAAAAGUUCAGGGCUGUUGCUAUUUUGUGCUAGGUCUUGGCUUGGUGGGCGAGGUUAGCGAUGAUUGAAUGAACGAUGGAUAAUUGAGACAGCAGUUCCCACAAUGUUUUCUCCAAAAGUUCCAUCAGGUAAAACAUUUCAACACAUGUUGAGAUGCCAGCGAAUGUUUACGAUGGCAAAUGAGAGCGAUGACAUACCGGUCUUAGACAGAGUGGAAAGAGAGCUGUUAGAGAGAGAGUUGGCGCUGGAGGAGAAAACACGUUUUUGCAGCUGCAAAGUUGGAAGAAAAAAAAAGACAGCCAUGAUAACCGGCAGAUGAUAUGAGGGAUGAGAAGAUGCCAGGAACAUCCGCAAAGUUCAAAACAACAAACCUGCUCGUUCAUGAUGGCGCACAGUUCGCUCAGCAUGUCCCUGUAGUGAGCUCUCAUCUCCUCCUGGUACUCGAGUUGGUCUUCCUUGAUCAGACGCUCGUUCACAUCCAACGCCUGGCCGCACGCUUCGGCAAA